rnacentral:lncRNA from 1 species
GAUUUCGACCUGGUAUUAGGUGAACUGAUUGGGGGUUAAUGAGAGCGACGCCCCGGGCAGCUAGUUCCCUCCCGGGCCCGGGCCCGACCCCCGCUCUCUGCUAAUGCAGCCUGCGCGCUCUGGCGUCCUGUCUUUUUUGUCUGCUAAAUUGUCGGUGCACUACCGACUCGGGACACCUAGCAUUUCCCAGUCAACGUUCGUGGAUCGGGCUCCACCUCCCUAGGACAAGAUUUUUUGGUCUCCUCCGGGCUGGGGCUGAGCAAGCCCUCGGAGUGACCGUGGGUGACAGCGGCUCCAGGGACUCUUGGGGCGCAGUGGGGAAAGUGCCGGACCACCAUGCCGCGCUCAUUUCUCGUCAAAAGCAAGAAGGCUCACAGCUACCACCAGCCGCGCUCCCCAGGACCAGACUAUUCCCUCCGUUUAGAGAAUGUACCGGCGCCUAGCCGAGCAGACAGCACUUCAAAUGCAGGCGGGGCGAAGGCGGAGCCCCGGGACCGUUUGUCCCCCG